AUGAACGCUAGCUACAGGCUUAACACAUGCAAGUCGAGGGGCAGCAUUUUAGUUUGCUUGCAAACUAAAGAUGGCGACCGGCGCACGGGUGAGUAACACGUAUCCAACCUGCCGAUAACUCGGGGAUAGCCUUUCGAAAGAAAGAUUAAUAUCCGAUAGUAUAUUAAAACCGCAUGGUUUUACUAUUAAAGAAUUUCGGUUAUCGAUGGGGAUGCGUUCCAUUAGUUUGUUGGCGGGGUAACGGCCCACCAAGACUACGAUGGAUAGGGGUUCUGAGAGGAAGGUCCCCCACAUUGGAACUGAGACACGGUCCAAACUCCUACGGGAGGCAGCAGUGAGGAAUAUUGGUCAAUGGACGAGAGUCUGAACCAGCCAAGUAGCGUGAAGGAUGACUGCCCUAUGGGUUGUAAACUUCUUUUAUAUGGGAAUAAAGUAUUCCACGUGUGGAAUUUUGUAUGUACCAUAUGAAUAAGGAUCGGCUAACUCCGUGCCAGCAGCCGCGGUAAUACGGAGGAUCCGAGCGUUAUCCGGAUUUAUUGGGUUUAAAGGGAGCGUAGGUGGAUUGUUAAGUCAGUUGUGAAAGUUUGCGGCUCAACCGUAAAAUUGCAGUUGAAACUGGCAGUCUUGAGUACAGUAGAGGUGGGCGGAAUUCGUGGUGUAGCGGUGAAAUGCUUAGAUAUCACGAAGAACUCCGAUUGCGAAGGCAGCUCACUAGACUGCAACUGACACUGAUGCUCGAAAGUGUGGGUAUCAAACAGGAUUAGAUACCCUGGUAGUCCACACAGUAAACGAUGAAUACUCGCUGUUUGCGAUAUACAGUAAGCGGCCAAGCGAAAGCAUUAAGUAUUCCACCUGGGGAGUACGCCGGCAACGGUGAAACUCAAAGGAAUUGACGGGGGCCCGCACAAGCGGAGGAACAUGUGGUUUAAUUCGAUGAUACGCGAGGAACCUUACCCGGGCUUAAAUUGCAUUUGAAUAAUCUGGAAACAGGUUAGCCGCAAGGCAAAUGUGAAGGUGCUGCAUGGUUGUCGUCAGCUCGUGCCGUGAGGUGUCGGCUUAAGUGCCAUAACGAGCGCAACCCUUAUCGAUAGUUACCAUCAGGUUAUGCUGGGGACUCUGUCGAGACUGCCGUCGUAAGAUGUGAGGAAGGUGGGGAUGACGUCAAAUCAGCACGGCCCUUACGUCCGGGGCUACACACGUGUUACAAUGGGGGGUACAGAAGGCAGCUACCUGGCGACAGGAUGCUAAUCCCAAAAACCUCUCUCAGUUCGGAUCGAAGUCUGCAACCCGACUUCGUGAAGCUGGAUUCGCUAGUAAUCGCGCAUCAGCCAUGGCGCGGUGAAUACGUUCCCGGGCCUUGUACACACCGCCCGUCAAGCCAUGAAAGCCGGGGGUACCUGAAGUACGUAACCGCAAGGAGCGUCCUAGGGUAAAACUGGUAAUUGGGGCU
rnacentral:rRNA from 1 species